GCCGUGCNAGUAGGCGAACUGGGUGAGUAAUGUAUCGGAACGUGCCCAGUAGCGGGGGAUAACUACGCGAAAGCGUGGCUAAUACCGCAACGCCCUACGGGGGAAAGGGGGGGAUCUUAGGACCUCUCACUAUUGGAGCGGCCGAUAUCGGAUUAGCUAGUUGGUGGGGUAAAGGCCUACCAAGGCGACGAUCCGUAGCUGGUUUGAGAGGACGACCAGCCACACUGGGACUGAGACACGGCCCAGACUCCUACGGGAGGCAGCAGUGGGGAAUUUUGGACAAUGGGGGAAACCCUGAUCCAGCCAUCCCGCGUGUGCGAUGAAGGCCUUCGGGUUGUAAAGCACUUUUGUCAGGGAAGAAAAGGUUUCGGAUAAUACCCGGAACUGAUGACGGUACCUGAAGAAUAAGCACCGGCUAACUACGUGCCAGCAGCCGCGGUAAUACGUAGGGUGCAAGCGUUAAUCGGAAUUACUGGGCGUAAAGCGUGCGCAGGCGGUUCGGAAAGAAAGAUGUGAAAUCCCAGGGCUCAACCUUGGAACUGCAUUUUUAACUACCGAACUAGAGUAUGUCAGAGGGGGGUGGAAUUCCACGUGUAGCAGUGAAAUGCGUAGAUAUGUGGAGGAACACCGAUGGCGAAGGCAGCCCCCUGGGAUAAUACUGACGCUCAUGCACGAAAGCGUGGGGAGCAAACAGGAUUAGAUACCCUGGUAGUCCACGCCCUAAACGAUGUCAACUAGCUGUUGGGCCCUUCGGGGCUUAGUAGCGCAGCUAACGCGUGAAGUUGACCGCCUGGGGAGUACGGUCGCAAGAUUAAAACUCAAAGGAAUUGACGGGGACCCGCACAAGCGGUGGAUGAUGUGGAUUAAUUCGAUGCAACGCGAAAAACCUUACCUACCCUUGACAUGUCUGGAAUCCUGAAGAGAUUUAGGAGUGCUCGCAAGAGAACCGGAACACAGGUGCUGCAUGGCGUCGUCAGCUCGUGUCGUGAGAUGUUGGGUUAAGUCCCGCAACGAGCGCAACCCUUGUCCUUAGUUGCUACAUUUAGUUGAGCACUCUAAUGAGACUGCCGGUGACAAACCGGAGGAAGGUGGGGAUGACGUCAAGUCCUCAUGGCCCUUAUGGGUAGGGCUUCACACGUCAUACAAUGGUCGGGACAGAGGGUUGCCAAACCGCAAGGUGGAGCUAAUCUCAUAAACCCGAUCGUAGUCCGGAUUGCAGGCUGCAACUCGCCUGCAUGAAGUGGAAUCGCUAGUAAUCGCGGAUCAGCAUGUCGCGGUGAAUACGUUCCCGGGUCUUGUACACACCGCCCGUCAAACCAAUGGGAGUGGGGNUUUUC
rnacentral:rRNA from 1 species